GGAAUUGUGGCUCAGUGGCAGAGCACUUGCCUGGCAUGUGUGAGGCACUGGGUUCGAUUCUCAGCACCA
rnacentral:tRNA from 1 species